ACACUUACCUGGUAGGGGAGAUACCAUGAUCAGAAAGUUGGUUUACCAAGAGCAAGGCUUGCCCACUGCACUGAGGGUGUGCUGCCCCCUGCGAUUAGCCCGAAUGUGGGAUAUUUGACUGCACAAUUUGUGGUAGUGAGAACUGUGUCCAAGCUUUUAA